rnacentral:rRNA from 1 species
AUAACUACUGGAAACGGUGGCUAAUACCGCAUAACGUCGCAAGACCAAAGAGGGGGACCUUCGGGCCUCUUGCCAUCAGAUGUGCCCAGAUGGGAUUAGCUUGUUGGUGAGGUAACGGCUCACCAAGGCGACGAUCCCUAGCUGGUCUGAGAGGAUGACCAGCCACACUGGAACUGAGACACGGUCCAGACUCCUACGGGAGGCAGCAGUGGGGAAUAUUGCACAAUGGGCGCAAGCCUGAUGCAGCCAUGCCGCGUGUAUGAAGAAGGCCUUCGGGUUGUAAAGUACUUUCAGCGGGGAGGAAGGUGUUGUGGUUAAUAACCACAGCAAUUGACGUUACCCGCAGAAGAAGCACCGGCUAACUCCGUGCCAGCAGCCGCGGUAAUACGGAGGGUGCAAGCGUUAAUCGGAAUUACUGGGCGUAAAGCGCACGCAGGCGGUCUGUCAAGUCGGAUGUGAAAUCCCCGGGCUCAACCUGGGAACUGCAUUCGAAACUGGCAGGCUUGAGUCUUGUAGAGGGGGGUAGAAUUCCAGGUGUAGCGGUGAAAUGCGUAGAGAUCUGGAGGAAUACCGGUGGCGAAGGCGGCCCCCUGGACAAAGACUGACGCUCAGGUGCGAAAGCGUGGGGAGCAAACAGGAUUAGAUACCCUGGUAGUCCACGCCGUAAACGAUGUCUACUUGGAGGUUGUGCCCUUGAGGCGUGGCUUCCGGAGCUAACGCGUUAAGUAGACCGCCUGGGGAGUACGGCCGCAAGGUUAAAACUCAAAUGAAUUGACGGGGGCCCGCACAAGCGGUGGAGCAUGUGGUUUAAUUCGAUGCAACGCGAAGAACCUUACCUGGUCUUGACAUCCACAGAACUUUCCAGAGAUGGAUUGGUGCCUUCGGGAACUGUGAGACAGGUGCUGCAUGGCUGUCGUCAGCUCGUGUUGUGAAAUGUUGGGUUAAGUCCCGCAACGAGCGCAACCCUUAUCCUUUGUUGCCAGCGGUCCGGCCGGGAACUCAAAGGAGACUGCCAGUGAUAAACUGGAGGAAGGUGGGGAUGACGUCAAGUCAUCAUGGCCCUUACGACCAGGGCUACACACGUGCUACAAUGGCGCAUACAAAGAGAAGCGACCUCGCGAGAGCAAGCGGACCUCAUAAAGUGCGUCGUAGUCCGGAUUGGAGUCUGCAACUCGACUCCAUGAAGUCGGAAUCGCUAGUAAUCGUGGAUCAGAAUGCCACGGUGAAUACGUUCCCGGGCCUUGUACACACCGCCCGUCACACCAUGGGAGUGGGUUGCAAAAGAAGUAGGUAGCUUAACCUUCGGGAGGGCGCUUACCACUUUGUGAUUCAUGACUGGGGUGAAGUCGUAACAAGGUAACCGUAGGGGAACCUGC